GGACUUUUGUAGUCUGCUCAGUUUUUUACGUUGGAGGCUGAAAGCACCAUCUUCCUGAAUAUUUAUCAGAAUGUUUUAAGAGUAAAAAAUUGAGAAUGGAUCUCCUUGGAGAGGAAGGAGAGAGAAUGGUACAUCUAAAGGACGCAAUCUAUCAUCCUAAACAUUGGUCCCUUUAAUCUUAUGAAAAUGGAACUGUAAAACCUAAUGAAAACAGCAGUUCAGAAGCAUUCUUUGAGCCAAGACAAAAUCAGCCUGGAUUCUGUCAUCUUUACACACGGUGAACGAGGAGCAUGCAAACGAAGAGCAUGAAGGAAGGCAGGAGAAGAUACCAGACUGGCAACGAUCCCAAGCCGCUCACACGCCGAUGCUCAGGACAGCACAUGUGGGUGCCACAUGAGCAGGUGAAACUGUGAUUCUACAUGUGUGGAAGGGAGGAUAAUAAUUAAACAAUCAGAUGUGCUAAGUGCAUCAUGCUGGGACCGCUACAUUUCAGAUGGGUUGUGAGGUUUGAAACUGAAGGCAAUAACUCAGGAAGUGGCCAAGUUACAGCUGUAAUCGUAAGGAUUUCUGCGCAGUCCCUGGAGCGCCAGAGUGCCAGUCUUGUCCUGACACACUCUCUGGUGGGGUGUCAGACGCUCAGCAGCCUCCAGCCAGCGUUCGACAUCUUUCAGCUGCUAAGACUCUGAGAUUUUCGCUCUGGAUAUACUCCAAGGCUCCUCUCCCUGCUUGCCUGUACAUGGUCCAGCCCUCCCUAGCCACCGCCUGCAAGACUCCCCACUGCUGCCUGCUCGCAGGGACGGUGACUUGCCCCUUCCAGUGGGGUGAGCCUGGCGGGACAGGGCUCGGACCAGGACCAGGACUGGGGCUGGGACCAGUGCCGGUGUCGAGCUCUGCCCUCUGCUGACAUGGCAGCGGUGAUGGAGGGGAGCUGGGAGCCCUGGCAAGGCCUCCUUUCAUUCCGAUUGUAAUUGCAGCUACUGCAAUAGCUCCAAAUGGUAAUGCAGAGGGUCAUAAGAAAGCCUGAGGGAUUAAAAUCUGCCCUUGCAGGGCUUUACGAGCCAUUGAAAGCUUUCAUUGCACUUCAGUAUGGCC